rnacentral:rRNA from 1 species
AUUGAACGCUGGCGGCAGGCCUAACACAUGCAAGUCGAGCGGAUGAAGGGAGCUUGCUCCUGGAUUCAGCGGCGGACGGGUGAGUAAUGCCUAGGAAUCUGCCUGGUAGUGGGGGAUAACGUCCGGAAACGGGCGCUAAUACCGCAUACGUCCUGAGGGAGAAAGUGGGGGAUCUUCGGACCUCACGCUAUCAAAUGAGCCUAGGUCGGAUUAGCUAGUUGGUGGGGUAAGGGCCUACCAAGGCGACGAUCCGUAACUGGUCUGAGAGGAUGAUCAGUCAAACUGGAACUGAGACACGGUCCAGAUUCGUACGGGAGGCAGCAGGGGGGAAUAUUGGACAAUGGGCGAAAGCCUGAUCAAGCCAUGCCGCGUGUGUGAAGAAGGUCUUCGGAUUGUAAAGCACUUUAAGUUGGGAGGAAGGGCAGUAAGUUAAUACCUUGCUGUUUGGACGUUACCAACAGGAUAAGCACCGGCGAACUUCGG